GGAAAGGGGCCAAAUGCAAAGCACGCCUUUCACGGCGAACUCAGGCCCCUCAUUAGAGCUGAAUAAAGCCAGCCGAGGGGGCCUUCUCCCGGCGAAGCCCAGGGCUCCGGCUACAUUCACAGCUUCAUUGUAAAUUCCAGCACGACGGUGUCAUUUCCUGAAAGGAGAGUGGAAAGUUUGGGGUUUUUUUGCAGCGCCCCUUCUCAGCACAGCGCGGCUGGGGAGGAAACCCUUCCUGUUCCACGGCUCGGCCGCACCGCUCUCCAAAUGUGCAAAAGGAGGGGAAGGAAAACGGCCGGGGCUUUUGCCUUUGUUUUUUCCUCUCCUCGGAGAAAGGCUGACCGCAGAGGAUCUCGCUUAUCUGUUUAAGCUAGAUUUCACCUGACAGAGGAGACUCGAUUCCUGUUACAGUUUUUGUGCUGCUUAGCACAAUAAAAAGCAUUCAAAGAGAGGCAGGCGCAAGAAAGAGAAGUGCGCUGAAGGAAGAGAUGAAAAGACAGAUGUCAGCACCGUCGUGCCCAUAGACGCCGCGAGCUGCCACCGGCGGCACAAAGACACAUGAUUAACAGCAAGGGCCGGGCAGCGCUAACUGUGCCGCUCGAUCAAAGGCAGCUGCUGAUUGAUCGUCCCCAGCCCAGGUCUGUGGCAGUCCCGGGAGGGCCCCUCCAUCUCACCCUGCUCCCUCUGAGCCGGCAGCUGCGGAGCGGGGCUGGAAGGCGGUGGGAGCUGCGGGCGGCGGUGUGUGAGCCGUGCAGAGGACCAGAUGUGCCGCGGGUCGUCUUCCACUGGUGAAGACAAGUUCUAGGCAAACUGAGCUAGCAGUAUAGCAGGUAUGAGAAGAAUGAAUACUUGGUAUCCUGCACCAGGGCCUUCCCAGAGCUGGCCGGCCUUGAAGGGAACAUUAACGAGGAGACUUCAGGGACAUCAUCAACUUGGCAAGAACACCCAUGGUCUGUGAGUCCUGAGCUGAACUGCCUCCAUUAGAAUACUACAGUCACACCCACGGGUCAGAAAGACUCCUGCCUGGGUGAGGUCCCUUCCCCGACCAUGUGCAGUAGUGGAAGUACAGUCAGACGUUACAAUUGCAUGGCAAUCACUGACCAGUCACCGUGAGAACAAACAGGAACGUUAUCGACUUGGUAACUCCUGUGUAUAAAUCUUGUGCAGAUAGUUUGAUGUGUGAGCUCAGUCUGUGGGAUAUAAAUAAGCAGUGUCCCUGAGUGUGUGAUCGCUGCCUUACUGCACCCUGGGCAAUACAGACGGGGCAGUGUCAACCCUGUUUGGAGGAGGGCUGCUGAGAGGCAAAUGCAUGCUUAGAGCCUGGAGUGCUGCAUCUGGCCAAGGACAUGUAGGCCCUCUGCCCACGUGGAGGAGCUAUGAGGGGCACUGCUGGUGUCCCUGUGGCGGGCGGUCGCUCCUGGCAGGGCAGUGGUAGCAGCCAGUUGGGGAGGAACGGGAGCAGUAAUUAAACCACCACAGUAAUUAGCUUGGGGCGUAUCUGUCCAGGCCCCAGCUGCUGCCUCUCCUGGUUGUGGCUGCAGCAUGCAGAGCGAUGCCAGAAGUGCAGCACAAGCAGCAAUCUUUAAAAGCAAAGCUCUGGGGCCUGGUUUGUAGAGCCCCGUUUGCUUCCCUCUGUUCCCAGCAACACUGUGCUCUAACCUGAUUGCUACCACCUCUGUCUCCCUGCUCCCAGGCUCCUGCUGCACCGCAAUACUGGGCACUCAAUGUGGUGGGAUGCUGCCCAGCUGGGUGGCAGAGCUUCACCAUGAGGCCAAGCAUCCCACAGUACGCAUGGGACUGAGCAGCUGAAGCAGCUUGCACAGCCCUGGGAGCUGAGGCAGGAGUUUUAGCAAUAGCAUAAGAACGAUUUUAUUUGAGCAGGUUCUUCUGGCUUGGGAGCUGAAUGCUGUGAAGAGGAAACGCUGCGCUUAUUGGGGAUGCAGCAGCUGAGUGGGACCACGUCAGGAAGGCUCGAACACAAAAAUAGCAGCCCUGCUGUUGUUCGGUUACACCCCAAUGUUUGGUUUCUUGUUUCCCUUUUUUUAAGCUCACCAUGUGUGUGCUGACUGCGCUUCUUUUGCAGUUCUGUGAAACACAAAGGUGGGGAGAGAACCAAACUUCUGUUUGUCACCCAGUCCUCUCCCUGCAGCGCCCAGAGGGAGCUGUGCCACCAUCCCCAGGAGAGAUGUGUCAGCUCCAGGAUGGAUGGUUCCUCCGGUGCCAUUCCAUGUGUCUCUUAUGAAGACCUCCUUCUCACCAGGCCAGGAAAGUCCCAGCACAUCCUAAGCAUAGCCACGGCUGCUUUACAGAGAAAAAGCUGCACUGAGUUGUGCUGGCACAGUGGCAUAUCCAUCAGCUAUUAUUUAAAUGUGUAUAAAUUCAUAGAAGAGUAAACAUAUGUUGAUAUAAAAGUCUAAAGGAGGAAAAGAAAAAGAGGACAAAAGAUAUAUUGCCAUAAGACAAAGAAAAAAGUACAAGCAUGCGAGAAGCCUUUCCGCCUGGAUGACAUAGCCACGAAGCACAGCUCCAAAGCCUCCAAAGCACUACAGUACUCAUUCCCAGCCCAGAGGUGCUGGUUACUUCAUAAGAGAUGCCCAGGAGCAAAUCCCUGCUUGGAGCAGGGGGGCAGGGCAGUGCUGCUCAACUGCUCACCGCGCCGGCUCUGCACAGCGCUGCAGCCCGCAGAAAACUUCCAUCUACUGCGGGCUGUCCAGAAACAGUGAGAACCCCAGGUGCUGAGCUCUCUGAAAGCUGGGAACAAAGCCUGAGUUAGCCAGCUCCAAAGGCAAAAUUAAUGUCACUGCUAGAAAAUAAAGCAGUGACCUUGACUACCUGCAUGAAGUGUAAGAGCGAGCUGUACUUCCUGCGCUGCCAUCUCACGGCAUUGCAGUGGGACACCAACUGAGCUCUUGCUGUGACAGUAUCAGCAAAGACAGGACCCCGCGUGGCAGGGCGGGUGUCCCAAAGCACUGGCACUUUGGGGAUGUACACGGAUGCUACAGCUCCCACGCCUGAGGAGUAAAACACACGAGCAGCACAGGCAUCCCCACAGCACCAGCCGUGUGCUCACCCACAGCAGUGCCACGCGAUGCUUCCAAUCCAACUGGCAGCUGCCACAGCCCCGCAAUGACAACACAGCCUACGUGCUCACAGUGACUCCAGGCCAGCUUUUCUUGUCUGAGAGACAAUAUUUUGGGGGAGAUUUUAAUUUAAAAUCACUUUGAAGGCUGGUGUGAAGAGAGAAGAGCCUUCUCUUCCUAUUUAAAAUACUCCAGAGAGGCAGUCAGCUCUUGAGAAAGAGCCGUGCCUGAAGAUCCUGUCCUGACAAGAGGAAAAUCAGAACAAACAGGACAAGGGGAGAGAGGAGACGAGGAGACAGGACGUGGAAUCACACAGAGCUCAGUGCAGAGCUGCAGCCCGCGUGGGCCAAGCACCAGCAGCACUUUCUCCAGUGCUCACAGCCUCAGUUGCUGAAUGGCAGUUCAGUGUCACCAAACCAUACACAGAAGCCCAGAUCUCACUCUUGUUGCUGGGUGCUAUUUACCUGCACUCCGGGUAUUCAUUUUUCAUCCUCGCUCUCUUCUAAGAGCAAUAUCACUCCAAGUAGCUCUGCAACUGCAGGCAGCUCUCAUUCCCCACCAUCCCCUGCUUCAGGCUGCCUUGUCACAUACCAAAAAAGUCAGCUGCACUGUCUGCUCCCACAGCUCUGUGCACAUCACAGGCUGAAGGCCCUUCUCAGCCCCUCUCUCCUCCUUUACAAGCACACUGGAUGCCUCGUGUCUGCAGGCAGCAUGACCUGACCUCUGUAGGUCUGCACAGCACCUGACUGCCACGAGCAGCCCCACGGCCCUCCUGCAGCCACCACGCAGCACCAGCAGCCCUCUCACUUCCCGUCUGGUCAUCUGCUCAUUCUCUGCUCACUUAAAUGUGUGUGUGGAACAGGGCAUUUUGGCAGAGGAUUUGUCUGGGGGUUUAGUUAUCUCUUGUCCCCAGACAGACAAGCAGAUAGCCCAGAAAUACUUGUAGAAAAAGGACAAAAGCUGUAUCUGGCAUUAACGGUUCCUUUCUCUUCUACAAGGCUAAGGGAAGCAGUGCUGGGAGUGGCAGUUCUUUCUCAGUCGCCAUCCCGACGGUUCCUCUAUCUCACUUCUUUAGGCUCUGGCAUCCUUCCCGUGUCCUCUUUCAUUCCUGGGUUCUUCUGAGCUGUUCCCCUGCCAGCUUUUGGCAUCCAGCUCUUGGCAUGCACUUAAGAGGAGGAAAUUGAGCUGACACUGGCAUCAGAGCCUGCUGCAGCCUAAUAGAGAACAUGCUGCAUGGGCAAGACCUGGGCCAGAACAGAGGGAGCUCUAUUUCCUGAGCAAAUCAGCAAUGUCAUUAGUUUCAUAAGCACACUUGAGGCAGCCCGGAGAAGGCAGGCAAAAUGUUGCAGUCGUUCAGCUGCAAAUAUUUUUACAGUGUUACGGGGACUCAGCAUCAACCAUUCAAGGCUUUUGCUCCAACCUACACAACAUCAAAUACCACUGAUCCACAGCUGAUUUUUUACAUAGGUGUGGUUCCGUUUGGAAUUUAAGUUACAUUUUGUACACGAGGAAAGAGGUGUUGCUCCCUAUUCCCCCAGCUGUCACUGCACAUCCAGGCCAGCUCAGCUCACAGAGUACCCAGCUGCCCCCAGGCCACGGCAUGGGCACAGCAUUGCAUGUGUGCUGCACGAGGCCUUCACAAAGCACCAGGUACAGCUUGCUAUGAGCCAAACUGGAGAAGCAGUGAGCACACGUGAGUAAUGGGUGGGAUUUUUGUACCCUCUGAAAUAAAGCCUCACAGAUUUGAAUUGAUGUGAAUGACUGUAUCAACAGUAAAUCAAAUCCGGUACUCCAAAAGGGUGGGUAGCUCAGGCCAUAACAAAAUGGGUUUGAUUAUCUGUCACGUUGCAUAAUUCCAAACUUACAAGGCUUGAUUUUCUGGCUUCGGUGUUUUGCAGUGGAGGACAAAUUGCCAUCAUGCACUCGAGGUCCCUUCGAGCAAAGGGCUGCUGCUGGGCAGCACUGGGAGGGUGCUGACCCUGCUGAGGUGUUGCUGCUGACAGCCCUGGGGCCAAACCGACCCGGACUCACUGCGACGGCUGCAGUGCAUCGUGUGAGCUGUGCUUGAUGAAAGAGGUCUGCUUCUAACAGCCACGUAGACAUGGAUAUAGAACAAAAGAAUUAAUAAGUUGGUGAAACAGUGAGAACAUUUAAAUCUGCAGCUUUUCCCAGACUCUGUUCCCUGUGGCAUCGCACAACUUCCCCAGCUUCACUUCAGAAUACCUCCCCAGCUCAGUGCCAGGUACCUGGGGCUCACAUGAAUUCCGGAUUCCCCACGGUUAAUUCUACAGACUGUGUCCAAUGGUACCUAACCCAGGAGGCACCUCCCUCACCCUCCAGAAAACACAUUGUAGAAUUUGUUAAGUAAUGACAGACACUUCGUCAAACAGACCAUUCAUCUCAACAUGUGAACCAGAAGGCGCAGAAGGUUUGUUUCUAAACAUGUAAAAAGUCCAUGCAGACCAGCGGUGCUUCUGGAGACUCUAUUGGCAGCUGUAGGUUGGGAAUGGAGUGGUAAUAAAAAAACCUAAGCUUUCAUCUCAUUCAUUUACUUCAUCUAUUCAAACUAACUUAGCAUGAAGGUGCAGCAGCAAGUAUAGGUGCUAUUUAGGAUUGCUUCUGUUUGUAGAUGAGGAAAGUCAGAGCAGCGCAGGAGCACAAUGUGUGCACACUCACAGCUCACCGUGUCAGAGGAUGACUUCCAGGGCUCAGAACCACUGCUUGGAAGAAGAGCAAGUCGUGGGAAACGCAGUGUGUACGUAUGGCUGUUUCCUCAUCCUGCUGCUCCCUGCACAGUGCUUGCAAAGCAAAGACUGCACUGCAAGCCAGCACCUUCCAGCACCUUCCAGCACCAAGCAGGAUCGGGAUGGAUGCGGAAG
ensembl:lncRNA